rnacentral:rRNA from 1 species
UACGAGGGGGCGAGCGUUGUUCGGAAUUUAUUGGGCGUAAAGGGUGCGUAGGCGGUUUGGUAAGUCUGAUGUGAAAUCUAUGGGCUCAACUCAUAGUCUGCAUCGGAAACUGCCGGGGCUUGAGUAUGGGAGAGGUGAGUGGAAUUCCUGGUGUAGCGGUGAAAUGCGUAGAUAUCAAGAGGAACACCUGCGGCGAAAGGCGGGUUGCUGGGCCGACACUGACGCUGAUGCGCGAAAGCUAGGGGAGCGAACGGG